UACGUAGGCAGCAAGCGUUGUUCGGAGUUACUGGGCGUAAAGGGUGUGUAGGCGGUUCUUUAAGUUUGGUGUGAAAUCUCCCGGCUCAACCGGGAGGGUGCGCCGAAAACUGAAGGGCUAGAGUGCGGGAGAGGAGAGUGGAAUUCCUGGUGUAGCGGUGGAAAUGACGUAGAUAUCAGGAGGAACACCGGUGGUGUAAACGGCUCUCUGGACCGUAACUGACGCUGAGACACGAAAGCGUGGGUAGCAAACAGG
rnacentral:rRNA from 1 species